rnacentral:rRNA from 1 species
CCUACGGGUGGCAGCAGUGGGGAAUAUUGGGCAAUGGACGCAAGCCUGACCCAGCAACGCCGCGUGAAGGAAGACGGCUUUCGGGUUGUAAACUUCUUUUGACAGGGGAGAGUAGAAGACGGUGCCUGUCGAAUAAGCCACGGCUAACUACGUGCCAGCGGCCGCGGUAAUACGGAGGUGUCAAGCGUUGUCCGGAUUUACUGGGUGUAAAGGGCGUGUAGCCGGGUUGACAAGUCAGAUGUGAAAUCCUGCGGCUUAACCGCAGAACUGCAUUUGAAACUGUUGAUCUAGAGUACUGGGGAGGCAGACGGAAUGCCUGGUGUAGCGGUGAAAUGCGUAGAGAUUAGGAGGAACCCCGAUUGCGAAGGCAGCCUGCCGGGGUGCGACUGACGCUGAGGCUCGAAGGUGCGGGUAUCAAACAGGAUUAGAUACCCUUGUAGUC